rnacentral:rRNA from 1 species
UGAACGCUGGCGGCAGGCCUAACACAUGCAAGUCGAGCGGAUGACGGGAGCUUGCUCCUUGAUUCAGCGGCGGACGGGUGAGUAAUGCCUAGGAAUCUGCCUGGUAGUGGGACAACGUUCGAAGGAACGCUAAUACCGCAUACGUCCUACGGGAGAAAGCAGGGGACCUUCGGGCCUUGCGCAUCAGAUGAGCCUAGGUCGGAUAGCUGUUGGUGAGGUAAUGGCUCACCAAGGCGACGAUCCGUAACUGGUCUGAGAGGAUGAUCAGUCACACUGGAACUGAGACACGGUCCAGACUCCUACGGGAGGCAGCAGUGGGGAAUAUUGGACAAUGGCGAAGCCUGAUCCAGCCAUGCCGCGUGUGUGAAGAAGGUCUUCGGAUUGUAAAGCACUUUAAGUUGGGAGGAAGGGCAGUAAGUUAAUACCUUGCUGUUUUGACGUUACCGACAGAAUAAGCACCGGCUAACUCUGUGCCAGCAGCCCGUU